CAUUCCUUUUCUCUCUUUUCUGCACCCAUCCAACAAGUGGCAUUAACAGUUUUUCCCCUCUCAUUAUGCCUGCUUAACUUUUCACCUGUCUCUUUGAUGUUUUAUUUAGUUAUAUUUGUACAGAAACUUCAGCUGCCUACAGAUAUACCGAACAAUAGCUGCUGGAGGCAUCUCUGAGUGGUAUUCUGGAAGAUUGCUGUUAGCAACGAAUUGUGAUGGGAAGCUUGCCCAGUAAGAGGAAACAGAUUGCUAACCAGACAAGCCCACAACUGAACACAAGGCACAGCCAGAGCUAUAGCGUAAACCUGCCAGUUGCCAAUUUCCCCAUGAUUGUUGCAGUCAGUGAUUUUCCUUCUAGAGAC
rnacentral:lncRNA from 1 species